rnacentral:rRNA from 1 species
GGGGGGGGGGGGGGGGGGGGGGGGGGGGGGGGGGGGGGGGGGGGGGGGGGGAGCGGGCGUCUCUGGAUGAGUUGCGGGCGGGGGGGUCGCGCGUAGGUGGCCUACCUGGUGGCGGGGGAGAACUAUUGGGACCGAUAUCUAAUACCGCAUAAGAGUAGAUGUCGCAUUACCUUUACUUAAAAGGUGCAAUUGCAUCCCUACCAGAUUGACCUGCGUUGUAUUAGCUAGUUGGUGAGGUAACGGCUCAACAAGGCAACGAUACAUAGCCGACCUGAGAGGGUGAUCGGCCACACUGGGACUGAGACACGGCACAGACUCCUACGGGAGGCAGCAGUAGGGAAUCUUCGGCAAUGGACGGAAGUCUGACCGAGCAACGCCGCGUGAGUGAAGAAGGUUUCGGAUCGUAAAGCUCUGUUGUAAGAGAAGAACGAGUGUGAGAGUGGAAAGUUCACACUGUGACGGUAUCUUAACAGAAAGGGACGGCUAACUACGUG